rnacentral:misc_RNA from 1 species
UUCCUUUUUGGACUAUAAAUAAACUUUAAAAAACAGAACAAAAGUGUUCCGAACGGAACCAUAAUGAAUGAAUGAUCUAACUGAAGUUCCUAGUUGAUAAACAUUGUUCGAAAAUUGAUACUGUGCAUUGAUUAGAAUUAAAUUUAGAUCGGCAAUUUUUUAGAGCUAAGGACAUGUUUUUUAUAGGGGAAAGCUGGGUUCCAAGCUAGUGUAUGUAGAUCUAUGGAUAUAAAGUAGUAAUCUCUGUUUUUUCUGUGUGUUUAUUUGGAUAUUCGAUCAUAACUCAUGAACAUUUUAACCGAUUUACCUCGAAUUUUGAUUGGUGAAAUCGGUAAAACAAUGGGAAUGUUCUUGGCUUUGUUUAAAAACUAUAAGUUGAGGUGAUUGACUUUUCUAUAGUAAAACUUAGUUUCCUUACAAAGCUGGGUUCCUAAGCUAGGAUAAUUAAUAAUACUAAUUUAUUACAAAUCGCCAUGUUUAAAAUUUUUUAAUGGAAUAUAUUACAGUCUAAUUGUAUAAAUAUGGAGGAAGGAAAAAUGGAAAUAGAAAAACAAGAAAUAGAAAAACCGGAUAAAGGGAAAAGUAUUUAUGAUUUGAGCACUCCAUCCUUCUUGGUGGAUAUUCAGGUUUAUCAAUCUAACUGCAGCCGCAUGCUAGAGUUGGCAAGAACUGCGGGAAUAAGUUUACGAGGGCAAACAAAGACUCACAAAACUGUAGAAGGAGGUGUUUUACAAACGGGAGGUAGCCGAAGGAAAAUUGUUACUUCCACUCUUCUAGAAUGUGAGAUGUAUGCUAAAAGUGGGUUUGAGGAUAUUCUUUUCGGAUUCCCCUUGAUUCCCCAACAUCUACCCAGGGUAUAUAAACUCAGAUCCCAGCUUGAUGCAUUCCACGUUAUGGUUGCAAACCUGGAGAUAUGCAUAUUUUUUCAGGAUUCUACUCCCCCUCAGGGUAAGAAGUGGUCUAUUGUACUAAAAAUAGACUGUGGAAAUGAAAGAGCUGGUGUUUGGUGGGAGGAAGCUUCGCAAAUUCUUGAAAUUGCAAGAUUCAUCACUGCUUCGUCUAAUCUCAAAUUUCAGGGUAUUUAUGUGCACUGUGGAAAUUCUUAUCACUCUAAUACUCCAGAACAAGUUAAAGAUAUUCGAAACAAUGCUCUGAACUCAGUUAAAAGAAUUGCUGACUGGUUGGAAGAUGAAGGAAUAAAGUGUAUUGAUGUUGGGAUAGGUUCAACACCAUCCUGUUCUCAUCCUACUCCAGCUCUCUCAGCCCUGUCGGAGAUACAUCCUGGAAACUAUGUUUUCUAUGAUGCUAUGCAGAUGGAGCUUGGAUCCUGUCAGGAGUCUGAUAUUGCUGGCACUGUUCUAACCAGAAUCAUAGUUGACUUCGAUAGCGGACGGGUUCUACUUGGACUAAUACAGUUUGGAACGAAGUUUUCAGAGACAUUACCCCCGGAGAAAUCAGCUUCUGAUUGAUUGUGGAUUUACUGGUUUUACUAAACAAGGAUUAGGAAAACAACAAGACAAGAGAAUGUUGGCCAGAAUAAAGGGAUGCCCUGAGCUAAUGGUAACAGACAUGACACAG